UUGUUUUAUGGUAUUUUACCUAGGAGAGAGGAGUAGGUCCUAAGUAUUAAGAAUAAUUAGUUAGUGUUGAUUAUAUAUGACUAUGAUGAUGAUGAGAAGCUUUUAUUAUGUGCUACAAUGUCUUAGACUUGAUGGUGAUGUUGAGUAGGAGUAGUGAUUAUGAGUACUAUGAUGAUGAGGAGGAGGAGUUUUUAUUAUAACUAGUGACCAAGUUGUUAUAUGAUGUCUCAUGGACGAAAAUGAUGAGGAGGAGGAGGAGUUAUAUGACAAUGAUAUAUUAUGAUGAUAAGUUGUUAAUGAUAUUAUGAUGAUGAUGAUGAUGAUGAUGAUGAUAAGUUAUUAUGUCAUUGGGUGAAAGAACCGCGGAUUAGUUUCAAAUGGAUGGAUCCAAAGUGACCAUUGGCUACUUUGGAUCCAUGCACUUGAAACUAAUCCACGGUUCUUUCACCUAGUGAUUUAAUAACUCAUUAUAAUGUAAAAGCAAUCUCUAAAUUGCUACUGUAUGAAAAAUUGUAUAAAGGUGUAUGAAUACAACCUAAAAUUUAAAAGAAACAAAAUACGGAAUAAUGGUAGUAGCGCGGGCGGAGAGAAGCGCUACUAGUAAUUACCAGUAGCGGUUACUCGAGAAAGCGCUACUACUUUGUAGAUAUAGCAGUAGCGCGUGCCAGCAAGCGCUACUGCUAAGCUUUAGCUGUAGCACCGUAUCAGUAGCGCGCUUGCCCGUGCUACUGAUAGGCCAAAAACCAGCGCUACUACUAGGCUUUUCCCUAGUAGUGAUCGAACCUCCUCCUAGCAGCAACAUGAUCGGUCCUACUCCUCUUGCCAGCAGGUCCCUGGGCAGUAUCCUCUAGAGCCCUACCCCUCUUUGAGAGAGGAACCCCCGUGUCUCUCGCAACAGUUGGAGCAAUGCCUCCCUCUAGUGGAGGAACAUUCGGUGCAGCCUUAUCGUUGUUACCUCCUACGCGAACUUCCUGAUGUUUGUCAUGGUCAGUGUCAUUACGCACAUUCUCCAUGUCAUCGUCACCAUCCUUGUCAAGAUUAGCAUCCACGCCACCGAAACCAUCCCCGCCUAGCUCCUCUUGCGUUUUAGGGAGCUCUUGAGAGUUGUUGUAGUCGUACCGACCACGACAGCUAGUUGGUCGAUGUGUCCAUUCUCCGACAAAGUAUGUGAACUAUCUCGCAACCACGUCUCUAUCAGAACCAUUCAAUGUUGUCCAACCCUCGACCAACAUCCCAAGCAAGUUGGUCAUGCCAGAAGCAACCUGCCCGACCAGGUAAUGAACAGGUGCCCUGGCUGAUGAGAAAACAAAAUGUAGCAAGUUACAAACACAUUAGAAACAUGUGCAUAAGAAAAGAAGGCAAAAAGCUAUAAACAGAAGUCAAAUGCAAGAAUAUCAUUCAAAAAACAAAAAAAAACAUGCUUCAUUACCUCGGCGGAACAAGAUGGAGCUGAAUGCACGUCCAUCCACUUGCCGAAAUUUUGUGGCCCGCCAAACACACUGUAGUCUAUGGCAUGCUUGGCAAUCCGCUGAAAAAGAGGUAAAAAAGAAGCAGUGAAUAUGGGCGUGGAUUGAAAGGAAAAGGUAUUCGAGGGGCAACGGCAAAGUUGCCAUAUGGAGACAACCAUGGUUGCCAUGUGCAGACAACCAUGGUUGCCAAGUUCUUUAUGAAUUGUUAGCCAUAAUAAAAAUGGUGAGGUGGUCGAAUGGAAUGUGCAGACAAAGUUGAGUGCACAAAUUAGAAUAUGGAUGCCAAAUAAAGUAUUGUGCAUUUUCCACGCAGAACCGAACGUAUUUGCCAUGUUGUAUAUGCUAUAUAUUCCCCUCUUCAAAAAGAAAAACUAUGAACAACCAAUAUGGAUCAGUUGUGGUUUAUUCAUAUUAUUUCCAUCAGUGUUUUUCAAGAGUGUUGUGCAAGAAAGAAGUCAAACUAACCUAUAGUUUCCCAUAUUUUGUAUCACAAAUCUUGUCUGCGGCAAGCACAGCCUUGACAGCAUCAUAACUCCAGGCAGAAACAACAAACUUAUGUGGAGGCAGCGGACCUCCUAUCUCAGUGAAGUCAACAGUGGAUAAAUCAAGAUUAUCGACGUACAUGAGUUGGUUUACACAAUAAAGCGAGUAAGAAAAUCAGAAUAUGUCAGUGAUCGGUAUUGUGCAAAAAAAGAAAACAGAUAAAGAUGCGGCGAAAAAGGAAAGGAAAAUAACUACAUUUUAAACGUCGUUGGCAAUACAGUCUCCCUUGAGUCACAAGUUCAAAAGAAAGAAGAAAGAUUUGCCAUGGGCGUGAACGUAUGUUUUCCAUGAUUGACUAAUUAAAACAAAUGAAAAAAAGUAGAGGAAGUGAACACUAUGUGUGUUGUAGAAAAGGGCAAUUGCCAUGUAGACAGCAACUGCAGUUGCCAUGUAUCAGCAACUUCACUUUGACAUGUGAAAAACACAAAAAAUGAAAUUUGCCGUACACGAUCAACUAUGGUUGUCAUCGAGAAAGCAAAAAUCAGUUAAAGCUCUAUCAAACUAGGGUUGACAGAGUAUGGCCAAACAGAGAUGCCACGUGCAAAACAAUUAGGUUGCCACUUAUGAACAACUGUAAAAGUGAUUGAGGAAAGAAUGAACCAUGGUAAGAGCAUACCAUUAGUUGCAGGCGGCAGCCCUUCUGGUACAUCUUAUUUGAGAAUGCAUCAUGCAGGAAGUCGGCAAUGAAUUUACACCAAUUCAUGUUUUUAACAUCUUUCAGUUUCGCCUGCACAAAAGAAUUCAGGACAAAAGAUGCCACAUCGAUGGUCAAUAAAAACAUCAAACUGGCAGUGACUAGCUUCUACAUGACAUCAAAAACAGAAGAUUAUAGGAAAAAGAAUGUAGAGAGAGCAUUCACUAGGAUAGGGAAGCACUUGUUGCUUGGGCGCAGCGAUGUGGUAGGCUCAAAGAAUACGAGAUCAAGUACAUCAGCAACUUCAUCUUAAAUACCUUAUCAUGGGUUGUCAUGCCCUCCAACGAAGUUGCCAGCACAGUCGUAUUAGGCAUGGAUGCAGAGCGGCCCUGUGGGGGGCAGGAGGAGGCCGCCCCGGGCUCCCAAAAUCAAGGGGGGCCCAAGAUGUAUGUACGUACCCUAUAGGCCUAUGGCCCAUACAGGCACGCGCGCGCCAGGGAGCAGCAGGCCAGCAGCCCGAUCUCCCCGAUCCCAGCAAUCGAGUGUUUUGAGCGAUCGCUUCCAAAUGCAUUGUCAACAGGAUGAGGGAUUUUCUCCAUGAAAUAAUAGGUGAGGAGCAAAGUUCAUUUGUGCCCGGGCGUCUCAUCACGGAUAAUGUUCUUAUUGCACACGAAAGUGUUCACGCAAUGAAGAAGAGGAAGAAGGGAAAGAAUUGGGUUUGUGCAGUCAAAUUAGACAUGAUGAAAGCAUAUGACCGUGUUGAAUGGCAUUAUCUCGAAGCUAUCAUGACUAAAUUGGGAUUCAGCUCAAUAUUUAUCCGACUGAUUAUGAAAUGUGUUUCGUCGGUUCGGUUUGCAGUACGUGUGAAUGGUGAGUUACUGCCUUUUUUUACCCCAUCUAGAGGUUUUAGGCAAGGAGAUCCCGUUUCACCGUAUCUUUUUCAUCUGUGCGCGGAGGGCUUCACAACUCUGUUGAACAACUUUGAUGGAGUCCAUGCGGACAAAGGAAUCUGAGUAUGCACCCAGUCACCAUGGAUUAAUCAUCUACUGUUUGCGGACGACAGCCUUAUCUUUAUGCAAGCAAAACUGGAGAGUGUGACGAGGUUGAAUAACAUCUUGAGGAUAUAUGGCGAUUGUUCGGGCCAAUGCGUGAACAGAGACAAGAGCUCUAUUUUUUCAGUCCAAACACAACACAUCCGGUGAGAGUUAUGCUGAAAGGUGCCACGGGCAUUGGGGUAGAGGCAUUCAAUGAAAGAUAUCUGGGUCUUCCCACUACAGUUGGACGAAUUACAUCUGGUACCUUUGACUUCAUUGGUGAGAGAGUGAGGUCACAACUGAAUGGUGGUACAGAACAUUUGGUGUCUUGUGCAGCGAGGGAGAUAUUAAUCAAGUCAAAGGCUCAGGCAGUCCCGGCAUACACUAUGGGUUGCUUCAAGCUCACAAAAAAAGUGUAUAAGAACAUCUCCUCACCGAUGGCAAAGUUCUGGUGGAGUAGCUUGAUUGACCGAAAUUCCAUGCACUGGAUAGAUUGGAAGUCUUCGUCGCUUCCAAAAAUAAGAGGAGGAAUGGGGUUUCGAGAUUUGGAAUGCUUCAAUGUUGCGUUGUUGGGAAAACAGGGAUGGCGGCUGAUUACAAACCCGCAUGGUCUAUGUUCCAGAGUGCUAAAAGGAAGAUAUUUCCCGACGACUGAUUUUAUGCAUGCUAUUGUUCCGCGCAACGCUUCGGCUACCUGGCGGGCGAUAGUGGCUGGGAGAGGAGCAUUGGAGGCUGGGCUGUUGAGGAGGAUCGGGGACGGUUCCUCCGUAAGAAUCUGGGAAGAUAGAUGGCUGCCAGGGAGAUUAUCACUUCGACCAAUGGAGCAGAUUGGUUCUGCUACACUCUACACAGUGGCAGAUUUGAUUGACAAUGAGAGCUGGUCCUGGAAAGCUGAUCUAGUCAGGAAUAACUUCAUACCCCCAGAAGCUGAUGCAAUUCUCAAUAUUCCUCUCAGACAUGGUGGUGGUGAUGAUUUCUGGGCUUGGGAUCAUGAGAGGUCGGGUUCCUACACUGUAAAAUCCGCGUAUCGUGCUCUAAUGACUCAUAACGAGCAGUUAGCUCUAGAGGAAGGGACGAUUACAGGAUCUUCAGAGAACAAUAAGCAGGUGUGGACGCGACUAUGGAAACUAAAAGUGCUGCCCAAGGUCCGUGUGUUCUGGUGGCGAGUCCUUCGGGGCAUACUACCGGUGGAGACAACACUACAACACAGGCAUAUAGCAACCUUAGCGCGAUGCAAGGUCUGCAAAGGUAUGGAUGAAGAUAUGCUUCAUGCAUUGAUGAAGUGCUCUCAUGCGCAAAGCUUUUGGGCAGAAGCGAGAAGUUGGCUGCACCUCAAGUUGCCGGAGCUACACCCUUGUACGUGGUGCAAGGAUAUCCUCUGUGAUCCACGUUUUACUGAGGCAGACAGGGCUAAAAUAGUUACUGUCAUGUGGGCGAUCUAGACAUCACGAAACAGCAUAACACAUGAUAGAGUGAGUAUGGACCCGGUCCAAUCCAUGAAGCGUAUAAGAGAAACACUGUCUCUAUUGGAACUCCCAUUGGAGCAGACCAAGACACUGCCUGGGUAUGGAUGGAGACCGCCUGAAGUUGACUGGGUAAAAAUCAAUACGGAUGCUAGUAUUUCAGUGAUUGAGCACAAGAGUGGAAUAGGAGGUUUAGCUAGAUCUCCUUCUUCAUUUGUUGCUGCCUGGAGUAAGCCUUACCCCGAUGUUACAGAUCCUCUUAUUGCAGAAGCGUUGGCGUUACGAGAUGGGGUAAUAUUUGCAAAGCUCCGGGGGUUCUCGCGAGUGGCUAUGGAAACAGAUUGCUUGGAGAUGGUCAAGCUUGGCACUCGCGACGCUUUUCGUGCUCUAUUGUAGCGCCGUUACUUUUAGAAAUUGAUGAGCUAGCCUUAUCCUUUCUUUCCUUUGAUAUUCAACAUGUAAUAAGAAAUGCCAACCUGCCGGCCCACUUGUGUGCGAAACAUGCAAGCACACUUGGGGUAACCGACUGUUGGAUGGACUACCCGCCCGGCUUCCUCAUGACCAGCAUGAUGGCUGAUCGUGUUGGUGCCAUUGUUGUUGAAUAAAGCUCAUAGUUUCCCGCAAAAAAAAGGUAUUUCCUUUCACGUAAGAAGAAAGCGAUCAAUAAGCGGCUUGGACUAUUCCCUUCCUGUUCUGUUCGACUCUUUCAUCAUGCGGAGUCACGCAACGCCCAGGUCCCAGCCGUAGCUGCUGUCCGUCAACGCCGCCGUACACGCACGCUGCACGCACGCACUCCCACCUCGCCGCCGCGUGGUAAUUUCCUUUGUAAUCUGUAUAUGUUCGCCAUUGAUUUCAAUUCCGGGGCCCCUUUGGCAUUUUCUCAAUUGUUCUCUUCUCAAUCCUUUGCAAACUCUAGGCGCUGUGCAAUCCCCUGUGUAUUGUAUUGUAUACACGCACGCACUAAAGUUUGACCAUCACUCCAUCACGUAUUGAGGUAUAUUCAUAUAAUACUGAUACAAGAAAAUUCCUUUGAUGCAUAGCUGGCAAUGUUCAACAAUUGAUAGAACAAUUUUUUUUAUUUUCAGCAUUGUGUAUGUGUUAUUAUGAAGUCCUCCUGUAAGAGGAAUUAUCCAUCAGGUAGCAGCAAAAGGAAAAAAGAAGAAGGAAGUGGAGAAAUUGACACACACACAACGCUGGUGUUUAAAGAUAUAUUCGGAUUUUUAUUGAGCUCGGGCACUCUGAAGUCAUUAAGUGCCCAUGAACUUCGAAGAAUGUUGCACAACAUUUGCAGAAACUUUCUCUCUUAAUGAUUCAUCUCAUGUUGAGGUAUACGAUCUUAUUUCUAAAUUGCAGAUUAUGAAAUUAACUUUGCCAGAUGGCGUAAUGUCUGCUAUGGAGAUUUUCGGGCAUGUGAGGGAAGUCAACUGCUAUCAUAAUAUCUCUAUUGCCUAUCACAUCUUAUUUAUUGUGCAUGUGACGGUCGCAUCGGCGGAAAGAAGCUUUUCGAAGUUGAAAUUGUUAAAGAAUUAUUUGAGGUCAACAAUGACUCAAGAGAGGUUAAAUGGUCUAGCUACACUAUGCGUCGAGAAGAAAUUAUUGGAUGAGAGUGACAUCGACCCCAUCAUAAGCGACUUUGCAUCGAGGAAUGUUAGAAGAAAUUUUUAAGGUAAUAUGUAUAAAUUAUUUGAUAUGCGUACUGAUUUUAGAGUGAAGUGUUACUGAUAGUAAUUUAUAUAUAAACUAUUUUUUAGAUAAAUUUUUAUAUAUAUUUAUAUUAUAAUGACUUGUAUAUUAAGGGCCCCCAAUUUUUAGUUCGCCCCGGGCCCCUGAAAUCUCAGGACCGGCCCUGCAUGGAUGCCAUUCUAGGAAACAAACGGGCGAACAAAACUUCCUCAAUCUUAUUGUUCACCUCAUACGAGACUUUGAUUUCUCCACGGGGGACACCCAAAGUGCAUAACACAAAUUCCUCGUCCAAAGGGAGUCUUCCACGUCCCGGAAUGAUGAAUUCCCUAGACGCAUGAUCGUAUAUCUCACCGAGCCAGUCGCAUACAGGGUUCACUAGAUUCGUGCAUCGAACAUCCAUCAAUGCAUGCAUCCCCAUCUCAAUGGCAUCUCUCUUCUAGUCAUCGGUAAAACCCUUGGUCAAUAUAUUCAAGCGUUCUUGCGAAGCCCUAUUGCGCUGACGUUUCUUCUUCUGCAGAACACAAAAGGGUCAUUGUUUGCCAUGUUCAAUGUAAUAGAAAUUAGUUCUGACGAAUGAAUGUAAACUCGGUAUCACAAUAAAAACAGAGGGGGGAAAGUGACCUCGUCGCCGUCUUUUGUAUGACCGGUCGCACGAUUCCGUGGCGGUACCUGCAUGAAGUCAUCGUCAUCAUCUUGCUGGUCACCACGAGCCAUUGAGCUACGAUAAGAACAAAAAACAUGUUAGAAUAAAUGAAAACACAAACGACAGAUGCAGAAAGAGAUGCAGAAGUAACGAGGCAGUUGAUAUCAUCGACAACAAAAUGAAAACUGCCAUGUUUACCACUAAAAAGAAAUGUAUACAAUGUGUCAUAAUAGGGAGUUGCCACCUGCAAUCUGAAAAAUGCAUGGCAUAUGCUCAUAUGCAAAACUAAGCAGCUGACAAGAAAGAGUACUUGAGGAAAAGGCAUGCAAAAAUAAUGCCAUGAUGCGUAUAUGUAGUUUGCCACCUCCCUGAACACAAUUUAGCAAAAAUUGAAACGUGGAUGACUGAAUAAAUAAGCUAACUGACAAAAUUUGGGUUGAAUCAGAAGUUGCCAUGUUCUAAAAAUAUUUAUGUUGCCAUGUUUGCGCAAAAACAAAACAUGUCAAGUCUUAGUGCGUGAAUGGAGGUAAUUGCCAUCUGCUGAACAUGCACAGUAGGCGAAAAAUAACCACUGAAACAAGUGCAAAAACAUGGCAACUGAAAAAAGGUUUGCUUCAGAAAAGGGAGUUGCCAUCUAGCAGAUUGAAGUUGCCAUGUUGGCAGUAAACAAUAUGGCAACUGAGGUACCACAGUGGAACACCCAACUGCCGUUAUCCAACAUAUAAUGUGGCAACUGACACAUUGGCUUCAUAAAAAGGGAGUUGUCAUCUAGCAGAUUCAAAUUGCCAUGUUAGCAGAAAACAAAGUGGCAACUAAGGCAGCAUAGUGGAACAUCCAACUGCCAUUAUCCUACAUAGGACAUGGCAACUGACAUAGUUGAUUCAGAAAAUUAGUUGCCAUCUAGUAGGAUAGAUGUAGAUAAACAAGUGAAUUGAACUUGCCAGGACUGCCAUUAUCCCACACAUCGAAAUUUCAAGUUGCCAUGUUAGCAGAAAACAAAGUGGUAACUAAGGCAGUAUAGUGGAACACACAACUACCAUUGUACAACAAAAAAUGUGGCAACUCACACCUUGGAUUCAUGAAAAGGAGUUGUCAUCUAAUAGAUACAAGAUGCCAUGUUAGUAGUAAACGGAGUGGCAACUAAGGAAGUAUAUUGGAACACACAAACUGCCAUUAUCCUACAUAGGACAUGGCAACUGACAUGGUUGAUUCAGAAAAUUAGUUGCCAUCUAUUAGGAUAGAUAUAGAUAAACGAGUGCAUUGAAAUUGCCAUGGCUGCCAUUAUCCUACACAUCGAAAUGCACCUAACUAGAUCUAGGGUUCAAACCCAACUAUCAGUCCCUGAGUUCGACUACAACAUCGCCCAUAAAACAGUGAUAAUGACAGCUUACGAGACCAUCAAUACUAACAAAAACACAUUAGAAAUCGCUAUCACAUAGAAUUGCAGGAAUCUAAUCUCUCAUAAACAGGGAGAUAGUUGUCGAACGGGCGAGCCUCGCUGGCUUGACUACCACCGCAACAGCGACGAAACUACGCCAAUGCUGGCCUAAAUGGCACACACGCGACUCCACCGCCGACGGGACACUAGAGCACCGCGAAUCUGCCUGAAUCUCGAGAGGGCUCGGGAAGGAUGUGACCAGGGAGGAAGGGAGAGAGACUGGACCAGUAGAAAGCUUCGAGAGCCUUACCUACUCGUUGUGGCUGCUCCGGCAACGACGCUCCGGUCCGGUGAACACCAGCGACGACCGCGAAUACCCACUAUUCUUCCGCCGCCGCCGCCUCCCCCUCUCGACUGCACCUCCUAUCGAAUGAAACUGCUGUUGUGGGGGGUGGGAAGAAAUGAAGGAGGUGGGGGAGAAACUGCAGCGCCGUUGAGGGGAAAAUGGGAAGACGUGGGAGACGGUGAAUAGGAGUCGUGCGCGGCGUGCGAGCGCGACAGCAGUUCCACCGCACGUCCGACUCACAACCGCGACCACUCCGAGCGAGGAAUGGGCGUCCGGGCGAAUUGCUUAACUCCCACACACGCUCCCCUGCCUACGUGGCACACAAAAACUGCUAGAACGCGCCAAAAUUUGUGCAAUAUUGAUUGGACGAGGAUCCAUGCGUGUGGACGAGUUGCCAGACGCCCACACGUGUGGGUGUUAUCUUUUUUAUUGUUUAUUUCCCUCUGGUUUCUUAUGCUACAUGGAAGUAAAAUAUUUAUGUGUGGAAAUUGUUAUGUUUAAAUGUGCUAACACUUGGUCGUCAUAUGAUUUAUUGUUCCCAAAUAGGCCGUUAAGGAUAAUGUUAAUUUGUCCUCGGGUGCAUACUGGGUACCUGGCCAAGAAUCUAGUACCUAUCUCAACUAUGGGGCUGGUAUAAGUGAGCUACAAUAAAAUUCUGCUAAAUGUCAAUCACACUAGCAUAGUUAAAUAAUGACCGGAUGUUCUGCAUAUGGAUGAUAUUGUGAUACUUUUAUGAUUUCCUUUUUACUAAAAAUCCACGUAGAGAUUGAUCUUCUUAUAGGAAGCUAUUACAUUACUACAGAGCGACCUCCAGAAAAACGAGACGCGUCGAAACCCCUGGCUCCUCAGCGAUUUGGGCCUCUCGGCCGUCCGAUCGGUUCCCUUGAUGUGUUUUCGGCCAUCGGAUCAAGCCACCGGCAGAUCUCGUCCGUCAGAUCCAAUCCCGCCCCCCUUAGCACGUUUGACCCCGCCUGGCUCGCGCGUCAGUAACUCCUUCCGCCUGGCCGGAUCUCGCUGACCUGUGGGGUCCCGGCUGGAGGGCCCCGUCCGUCAGCGAGCGGGUGCGCGGGUGCGGCCGGUGCGGCCAGUACCGCGCGCGGGCGGUAAAUAUCCCGUGCCACCGCCGAAAUUCCCGUCCCCACCAAGGGCAUUUUAGUCAUUUCGCGUCUAGGUCAACACUUGCCGUUUUGCAAUUCGCUGCCUUCUCCCCCAAUGAGUGUAGGGUUCGAUCUGUCCUCACUCUCUUUCUUCCCCGCACGUCUCUCUCUCUCUCUCUCUCUGAGCCGCCACCGCCAGUCAUCCUCCUUGUCCGUCGCCGCCGCCAUCCAUCCGCAGCCGCGCCACCAUCCCCUCCCCGUUCCUCUUCCGCCGCGCCACCACCCCCUCCCACCUCCGCCGCGCCACCAUCCCCUCCCUGUUCCUCUCCUGCCACGCCACCAUCCCCUCCCCAUUCCUCUCCCGUGGCUGAGCCAGCCAUGGCCCGCCCUCCUCCUCCCGCAUCCCAUCUUCGUUGCCAGGCGCGCACUGCCGCCACCCUUCCUCCUUCCCUCCUACUGUCCUGAUCCACCAAGCUCAGGGUCGAGAGGCGCGCCAGAUCCAGGCGCGGCGGCUCGUUGGUGAGCGCGGUGGCGGCUAUUGAUGGGCUCGAGCUCUAGCAUGUGGGCGCGUUGGUGAGCGCGGCGGCGGCCGUGGGGGCAGCGGCGUGCUGUUGAGCACGACGGCGGCCAUGGCUGAGUGCGAGUGCCUCAUUCUUCGAUGGCUUCUGUUGUUGUCGUGGUUGAUUUGCUUGAUUACUUUCGGUUUGUCCAGGGUCUCACGUGGGAUUUCGUUGCAGGUUCUGAAGAGCCACCGGUUGUUCGGUUCGUCGAGGCUUCAACCGUCCUGCCGACUGCUGCUGCAUCGAGAGGUUGCAAGGCUUCUGGUCUGUGAGCUCUUUUUUUUCUUUCUAUCUAGCUAAUGUUUCUUAGAUUGGUUGUUAUGUGUUGGUUGUUAUGUGUGGCUUCAAUAGUUUCUUAGAUUUGUUGGCUGCUCAUAUCUGGAUAAUGUUUUUUUGGAUGCAUUAGUUGCUCGAGGCUGGAUAUGGUCGGAUUCCUUUGAUGGAUUGGUGGAUCUACUUGGAUCCUUGGUAUUUUUUGUUGUCAUAUGGGAGGCUCGGCCGCAUGUCUAGAUUCCUGCCAGUUUGUUUGUUCCUUUCUGAAUUUGUCUGCUGCUUAUGGGUUUGGCAUUGUCUGAUGUUGUUAGCUUGGUUUAAAAUAUUUUGCCACUCUCACUGUUGGUUUCGGUUAGUCCCUAGGAUUAGUUGUUGGGUUAUGUUAGGCUCAAAUGUAUGGCCAUUUGGAUUAGUAACUGAUUAUGUUAGGCUCAAAUGUAUGGCCAUUUGGAUUAGUUGCUGAUUAUGUUGGGCUCAAGCGUAUGGCCAUUUUGGAUUAGUAGCUGAUUAUGUUAGGCUCAAAUGUGAUGUGCGUUUAGGGUCAUUUUUAUUAGUACCUGACUUUUGUUCUUUGGCUUAAGGAGUAGUUGGAUGAAUCACAUGGUUGGCAUAUUGUAGGGGUUGUGGCUGUUGUGGAUGUGGUUCAGUGGAUUUAGGAAGCCAUUCUUAGGUGCUUGAUUGGAGCUUGUUAAGUAAAGGGGGUGAGAUGAUUGUGUUGAUUGAUUGAUUCAAGAUCUGCCUGGUCAUUUGUUUUUGGGAUCAUACAUCUCACACGUUGGUUUGAGGGAAUGGUGGGCCAUCAGGGGCUGGAUUUGUUUUUGUUUGAUUGGGGCUUGCAAAAGAGAGGUGCGGGGCAGGCUGUUGCUGUAUGAUAGGUUCCAAAAACUUAAUUGGUGAUUACUAAUACUAUAUUUGUUGUGGUGUAAAAAAUUGUGAUAUGGCCUAUUUCGACUUGAUUCAGAGGAUCUCAUGUGAAAGCAUGACUUGUGUGCAUCUUUAUAUAUGUCCGGGACGUCGCGGCUAGACUCAGUAGAGACAUGUUUAAUACUAGAUCCAAGACGUAUUAAUUGAACACGUUCUGACAAUCAUACAAACCAAAGCCUUGAGAUAGUACUUUAUUUCUAUGGUGUCUUUCUCAUAGUUUAUAGCAACAUUUGGUGUGUCGUAUAUAAUAUGUCUAUGAUAAUUGAGGUGCCAUCUUGAUUCUUGGAUUGCUUUGUUCUUAGGUAUGUUGGUUAGCAUCACUACUACUUUCAGAAUUCAAGGUGCAUGAUGGAUGCAAGGUUUUUUUUGCUCUGUUUUUUAUUAUAAAUAAUGGGGUUACUAAUAGUAUUCUUAGGUAUGUAACUUACUAUGACUACCUUGCUACUUGAAUAUUCACUAUGUAUUAGAUGUGAGUGAUAUAUGGUCACAUUCUUGCAUCUGAUCACGCCCUUUAUUAUUCUAUCUUUCAUGUUUUUAUCCCUGACUUUGUUUGGGUACACCUCAGCCUGCUCACUCGUCUUUCUGUUGUUGUCUUCCUGAUCCAGAUUAUGCCCAGAUCUCUGCUGCCAUCGACGCUCCAUCGACGCUCCAUCUCCGGAGUCAUCCUGGUAUUUUACUUUGCAUGCUUCUUUUCUAUGGCUCUGUCCGUUUAUGAUGUUUUCUUCUUGGAUUAAUGCUAAUCAUGUUAUGCACUUUUGCAUAUCUAGCUCCUAAUGGGAGCCACAUUGUAUUCCCCUUCCAGUGUCGUGAAUGCUCAUGGUUGUAGAUUGACAUUACUGAAGCAAGGACCUGUGUAAAUAAAUGUUACAGGUGACCACAUGUGGGUAGGAUUGUUGGUUAGGAAUUACAUAGCCUUGGUACCCCAGACCAAUAUAUUCAUUUAAUUGUUUUAAAUUUGGAUACACCAAGCAAAAUUAUAUAUGCUAGCUCAGUUGUGUAUAAUUUUUUAUAGUAGUCAGAUCCAACCUUUGUAUUUGCUUUGCUUGUUGUACUUUGGUUAGAAGCAAAUAAUGUGAUGUUGUUCUGUUGUGAUAUCCACACUGUCAAUAUCAAAGUGUACAGGUCUAUUCCUUUUUUUUUAUCAUUUUCACUUAAUUUUCCUUGUCCAGUUCAUUUUUGAAACUGAGUAUUGUAUGAGGUCCUACACGCUUCCAGCUUGCUGUAUUUGCUAAACACAUACUGCAAUGGUGGGUGAUUAGUUUAGUUUCAUAUUUAGACAAGAUAGUCUUUCUGUAUGUCAAGUAAAAUCAUGGAAAAAUUACUAAUGGGGAAGAUUGUUGUGUUUUAGGAGCAAAUGAUCAUGCCUUAAGAAUAUGCAUUUGUAGUUGUUUGAUUCUAUCAUGCUUGCUUCUCUUUUUCUACUCAGUUACACCAGGCAGAUCAAAUGAUUUUUGCCUUUGCCUUGAGUUUUAAUCGUUCUGUCGCUACCCAGCCGUUGUUAUGUUCGUUUCUCCAACCCAUGGUUGAUAACUAAGAUUUCGAAAGCAAUGGAAGAUAUAGGAGGACGUAGGGCUCCGAUAAGGGCUCCGAUGGCUCCUGCACGGCGUGAUGCCGGUUAAGGUGAUCUUGUGGUACAUCUGUUCUUCCUAUCUCCUAGGUUCAUCGUGCCUCCAUUGAUUUUGAUUUUGCCUUCAAUUCUGAUGCAGGGUAGUUGCCCAUGGUGUUCCUGCGACUGCUAUGUAGGCGGAUCUGGAGGUUGAACCUCUUUCCUCUCUGUUCGUUUGGUACAGCAGCUUGUUCUAUGUGACCACGACAGCGAUGGAGCUCUCAGUGAUGUGGAGCUCAAUGACUUUCAGGUUUGUAUUCACUGAGGCCACCAUUCUUCCUUUAUCUUAACAUGAGGCUGACUAGAGUUUUUUAUUGACAUUCUUCUAUGUAUGGUGAUACUAAAAUUCUCAUUCCAUUGGUUUGCAGGUCAGAUGUUUUAGCGCUCCUCUCCAGCCUACUGAAAUAUCAGGCGUGAAGAGAGUUGUUCAAGAGAAGAUGCCCGAAGGCGUAAAUGAUAGUUGCCUUACAUUGACUGGGUUCCUUUUCCUUCAUGCUCGGUUAUGAUAAUGAAAUCAUGCUUAGAGAUGAAUUCAUUCCAACGUCAGUCAAGCGAGCUCCUGAUCAAGUAAUGUUCUCUUGAUUACUAUCAGCUAUUCACAUUUUGUUGUCAGUUGAAGCUAGACCAAUUUUUAAGUGCACAUAUAUUUUUGCGUCAAGUUGUUCUUAUAAGGGAUUACGUGUAAGUUGAUAGUUGAUUUCAACUGUAUGGUGGGUAUAUGCAAUCCUGGCUUCAAUAUUCAUUUAUCUAUGUGUUUAAUAUUUGCCAUACCUUUGGUUUAUAAUAUUUCUUUGGUACUAAAGUCAUAUCACUAUCUUUGUUACAGAUGGUGGAAUUGACAAAUGAAGUGAUUGAUUACUUGAAAGGAAUAUUCAACAUGUUUGACAUAGAUAAUGUAAGUCUGAUGUAUUGUUUGUCACAUUUGUUUUUUAUCCUCAAUGUAAAUGUUAUUCUUGCCAUUUUCAUUCUAAAUCUUAUCCCUAAAAAACUUCUGUGUUGGAGGAAGGUCUUAAAUGCGUUUGUGACGUAGUCGUUGGUGGUGGAUUAGCAUAACCAUGUCCCUGGGAUUUAAAUUUUGGAUUAACAUUCUUCAGUGCCUAAUAAUUUCAGAACCAUUGUGGCGUUGUUGCUUGAUCCAGUUGAAGUUUUAAAUCAAUGGUCAUACUUGCAAAUAAUUUAGUUGUUGAUAAAAAUAGCACUGUAGUGAUCCUCUGGCUAUCUGAGUAUUAAACUUGAUACAUGAACUAAGUCAACUCAAAGUAGCACCUUAAUACUUGACAUGGCUGUCUGAUUUAGUCUCGCAUUGAUACUUUACUCUCCUGAAGUAUGACUCGACGCUACACAUAUUAUUUCUGCUUAAUGAUAGUGGGGAAAAAUAAUUUCUAGAGUACUAGACAGAAGUGGACUCUAUGACUGAUCCGCCAAAGAGCGGACCUGUUACUCGUGUCCAAUGCAUUUUACCAGCCGCCACGAUCGUGUUCUUUUGAAGGUAGGCCCACUUCUUCAAGCCUACUUAUUAUUUUUGUUGUUGCUAAUCUGCUUUCUUAUGGACACCUCUACCAGAUCCGCCGCCACUGCGAAGCCCAGCUCCUGAGUGCUUUAAAGGUGAGCAAGAAAGAAGAACAGGGGUGUGGUGCUUUGGUACUGAUAUUGCUUUGCAUCUGCGCUGACUAGAAAAUGUGNNNNNNNNNNNNNNNNNNNNNNNNNNNNNNNNNNNNNNNNNNNNNNNNNNNNNNNNNNNNNNNNNNNNNNNNNNNNNNNNNNNNNNNNNNNNNNNNNNNNNNNNNNNNNNNNNNNNNNNNNNNNNNNNNNNNNNNNNNNNNNNNNNNNNNNNNNNNNNNNNNNNNNNNNNNNNNNNNNNNNNNNNNNNNNNNNNNNNNNNNNNNNNNNNNNNNNNNNNNNNNNNNNNNNNNNNNNNNNNNNNNNNNNNNNNNNNNNNNNNNNNNNNNNNNNNNNNNNNNNNNNNNNNNNNNNNNNNNNNNNNNNNNNNNNNNNNNNNNNNNNNNNNNNNNNNNNNNNNNNNNNNNNNNNNNNNNNNNNNNNNNNNNNNNNUGGUUCAUGAUGAAUUCGCUCUGUAGAUGUACCAUUACUCAUAUUUCUAGCCUCUUGCAAGUCAUCAUUUUGUUAAUCACGGUUUUUUAUGAAAACUGAAACCUAUCACUUUCGGUCCAUAUGAAGCAAAAGAAAGUCUUGCAGUAUGUUGCAAUUAUAUUGUGAUGAUUGGCAGGGAAUAACUUAAGUCUUUGAAAUUUGGUACAUGUUGUCGUGCAUCGAUUCAGCCCCAUUGUGCCAUCAGAAUGACUUGGAUUUACAAUUUGUAAGCAGAACUCAUGCUUCUUACUACCCCUUCCAGCUCUAAAAUACAUAUAUGUUUUUUUUUCUUAUUUUGUACCGCUAAACUAUGUGUGCUAAACAAAGCAUGUCGUAUUAUUUUCAGAUAAAUGAUGAUGUAGUUAUGCGCGCCAUCCAAACAAUACACACGUGGUUCCCAAAUUGGAGCAUAUAUUUCCGUGAAGAUCUUGAAGUAUGGUCUUUGCUUUCUCUUCUCACAUCUGCCAUUUAGAAUUUAUUUCCCUAUUUCUAUCACAUAUGCACUGCUUUACCAAGAUCCCACUUUGAUUAACGUCGUUCUAUUAUACUGGAUGUUUAUUCGCCUGUCACAAUGGCAUAUCCAUGUUGUUUAUAUUGUUUGGUUUGUAUUUCAUGCACGGAGUGACUUGGUUGUUUGCCGCCGUCUCCACUUGGUUUCCUCCAUGUUUCGAUCUGGUACCUCCACUCCUCACCACCUUGCUUGCCGUGCGAGCGUGUGGGUGUGUGUAUAAGUGCAACGCUUGGUUUGGUCAGUCGCUGAUUCCUCCGAACAAUUGGACUAUUGGGUGCUCAAAGACUUUAGGGGGUAGGACGGAUCCAACAAUGCAAGGAAUCGAUCAGUGGAAGUGUGGCACUCCUCAGAGCUCAGGCCUUCCUGGCCGUUGGAUCAGUUUGUUGAUGCGUUCUCAGCCGUGCAAUCUUGCCUUCGGAUGACUUUGGUCGUCGGAUCAAAUCCGAUUACUGCUACAAUGAGUAGUGAUGGAGACAUAGAACCUGUCAUCAUUUUGUCGGACUAAUUAUGGAGUUACUUGUGCAAGUUACACCAUCAGCAAACACAUGAAGACCUGAAUGCUAUCAUUGCAAGUUGAACAUUUACAUGCUCCAAGUCAAUCUGUUAGGGAGAAAACAAAGGCGUGUGUGCCUAUUAGUAAUUUUUUGUUUUAUCAUAGUGGGCACCUUAUCUGUCUGUAACAUGUGCCCUGUGCAACUGCAAAAGUGUUGGACAAUAAAAAUUCUGUGUAACACAUGUUCCUAUACACUCUACCUACGGUUAGUAUAGAAACUAUGCAUAGUUGUUACUCUUUUGGUGGCCUUGUGUAAUAUAUAUGGCAAAUAAAUUAUCAUGAACUAUUGAGCCUUUCACUUUUUCUGUAACAUACUGAACCUUUGCACUAUUGCUUUCAUCGUAUAAUCGUAUGAGAUAUAAAAUGUUUCAUAUCAGGUUGGAUAUAGCUGAGGCGGGUGGGGUGUGGCAAGCCGCACUUCCUAUCUAGUUAUGUAUGACUGUGGAAUGAGUUUGAACCCUGCAAUGGACUUGGGCCAGGUUUGAGAUAUUUUCCACUGAGCUAUGCUCUUCUUUUAUCAUUCGACAGUUAACAUGGAUAUUUAUAUUGCAGCCCUGAUCAGAGUUGUUGUUCAUUAUAGUAAACGGCGGAAUCAUAUAUUCAUUAUUCAUAUCUGAUCUCUAUCAUCAUCUGACAGAUUGAAUGCUCCUUUAUACAAGGAAUUGGCUUCUUCAUAAACAAAGAACACGGAACGAAACAAACACUGAUGGAAUGGUUGUGAGCGAUAGCACAUGGGUAUACAAGAUCCCGAGCAUCGACACCGUCCCAAAGCAGUUCAAUGCCGAGGUGCUCAACACCGGAUACCACAAGAACCGCGUGCUCUCGUCGAAAGGUAGAGAGUGUGAUCUCUUUCCCUGGAGCAACAACAUGAAUAUAUUUCACUUGUUUGCAUGAAAAAUAUCAUUAGUUAUUAAGGUAAUCAAACCACGUUUGCCUCUGUCAGCUUCGGGGGAACCUGCCUUGGUUCUCGCAUCAUUCGUCCAUUGCGUGGUGAGAGAAGCCAUCCGAGCAGUGAGGAAGGAGUUUGGAACGCUCGUGAAAGAAAUGUGUCGUUGCAUGAUGCAAGAUUCUGGUGGUAUCAACCAGAAGGAGCGGUGUGGCGUUCUCAUGUUGCGCAGCAUCGAAUGGCAAAUCAUAGACGUGAUGUUUGAAUGUUUGUAAUGUCCAGUGUUGUGCUUGCACACUUUUCUAAUAACUAAAAACAAAGCUUGUGAUUUAUAUGUCCAUAAUAAUGUGAUUUUGUAAAUAAAUGUUUAUUAAAUUCUGCCAUGGAUUACCUUAUAAUUUUGAUCAGAAGUUUGGUAAUUAAAUUAAAGUGGAAUUGGUUAAGAAGGUAAUUAAAUUAAUUUGAUUGAUUAUCAUACAUAGGGGUAGUGGGAAGAAAUGUAAAAUGAGAACCUUACAUUCUUUUUAAGUAGUAUAGAGAAGAGAAGAUAGAGAUAGAGAUAAUUCCAGGUUGAGAUUUGUGUUUGUAAGUCCUGACUGAACCUAAAGGCGGUGCCAGCUCCCAUGCUAGCUGCUCGCAUGCCACUUGGAAUGACUCGCUCAAUCUAACACUUUCCCUUUGGCUCCCCUUCCCCCUCCCUCGCCGCCGGUCCUCGGCCCCUUGCCCUCCCUCUCCCCUCGCCGCCGCAGGGCAAAGGAAGAACACUGAAGUUGAAAUCAGUAAAGAAGUAAAGAGUACUUCUCAACAAAAAAAAAGUAAAGAGUGCCCAAAAGGGUACAAACUGAUAACUAGAUAAAGAGUACAGUGGCAAAAUGAAAUUAUCAAAGGUCAAAUAGCAAAUGAAACAAGCAAACAAAGUACCAAAUAAGAUAAGAAUUAUCACAGCCAUUCAAGACAAAGGAAGAACAGAAAAAGAAUGAACAGAAGACAAGAAAAAGAUCAGUUCAAAUUUCAGAUGUUGAAGGUCAUUUUUAUUCAAGUAUAUCCAUUGGGCGACAGGCGCAGAGUUGGCCUGUUUAUAAAAAGUUACUCCCUCCAUCCCACAAUAUAAGAUCGUUUCUCGAAAAACGAUUUUACAUUGUGGGACUGGGGGUAUUAAUGGUACUUCUGCAAAACAUGAGAUCAUAAGAGGUAUAUGCUGGCAUAUGACAAUAUGGUUGUUCUCCACAUAUUUUGGCUUCUAAAAGCAUUAAAAAGGUCAUCGACAAAAGGCUAACCAUCCAAAUUGUAAUCUUUGAGGCCAGUUAGCAGCUGCUGUGCUGUGCCAAAACAGUAGAAAAGAUAUUGAUAACUUCCGACUUCAAUGUGCAUCACUGCCAAAAGAACCAGUAAAAAUUUAAUGGUGUAGUAAAGGAGGACAUGCACAGACAGGAAAAGAGGGCAUGUUUGGAACACAGAAAUGGGAAAAUUUUGCUGCAGAUCAUGUUUCACACAUUUAAAAGGGAGUGAACACAUUCAACCACUACCAGUAGUAGGACCAGAGACCACCAGAGUGAGACGAGCUUAAGCAAAAGCCCGAAUGCACCGAAUUGGCACCCUCCAUGGACCACAAAAUCAUGAGAAGGCAAACUGAACACCACAUGAGGUGAUUUGUGCGUAGCUGCUCUUAAUGAGAUAGGCGAAUGCCAAACUACGACAAUUUAUCAAACUAAACAUAAGAAGGCGACAGGAAUAAAUCAACAAGGAGCCAUAUCAAUAUUCCGUGAGAAUGAAAAGAUCCCAAAGGAGGGGAGAGCACAUUUUUAUACCCUCAGCUCCUCGGUUUAUGUCAGCCAUGUUUGAUCACCAAAGCCCAAGCCAGCCAGCCAGCCAGAUAGAUGAUGCAAAGGGGUACCGAUUCCCACCCCAAACCACCAACCCCUGCUGUUUCAGCCAGAACCCUUCCUCAUUGCUGGGGCUUGGAAUGGCAAGCAUCGAAGGUUAAAGUUAACAAGGACAACACUAUCAAAUGUCAAUACAAGAAAAAAUGAUAAUGGAGGCAAAAAUAGGAACAAAAAAACUGAACAAUAGCAACAAUAAGAAACUGCUUUUAAAUUGGUUCAAUGAAAAUAUUUCACGCCAUCUUACCUUCGAGAAGGUCCACAAAAAGAACCAGAGCCAUAGGUAACGCCAGGUUCACUUUUCAAGCUACAGGCCCACAAUGUACAGAAGAGUACAUACGACUUAAUUUUCAACAUGAGAAAAACACACAAAAGCUGUUCAGGAAAAUCAAGCUGUUUUUUAGAAUACUCACUGAUCCAAUUACUAUAAUAAUCUGACAAAAGAAGUAUAAAACACAGGUAUCAUAACAAACACAUGGCGCACAAGGAAUAGUUCACAAAAUCAAGGAAAAUUUUGGAGUAUUGUUUGAAUGGCUCAGAUUUACCCCACCAUGAAUCACCGAAGUUGGAAAAUGCUUGAGAUAGUAAAACAACAACAAAGCCUUUCAGUCCCAAACAAGUUGGGAUAGGCUAGAUCUGAAACCCAUAAGAUACUGAAACCUACUCAUGGUUCUGGCACAUGGAGAACUUCCAUGCACCUCUGUCCAUGGCUAGUUCUUUGGUGAUAUUCCAGCAAAAAAAAACCUCUCCCUCUUUCUUCACCCAGCAACAAAUAGCCACAACUGGUAACAUGCUGCAGAGCAAGGCCUCCUAGUUUAACGACUAAUUGUCUAGCUGAGUAGAGUUGAACGGAACCAACCUAGGAGAUGUAAAAACAUCUCCAUCUCAGGAUAUGGUGAAAGAUCUCCAGCACCACAAGGGGCACAAAAAUCAUCAUAGCCAUACAGUAAAGAAUAGAACGCAUCAACACACAAUGGAAACAAAUAUGCUGUGUCCAGAAGUUAAUUCGGACUGAUGGUCGCAUUACUGCAAUGAAAGAAGUAACUGACAUUUCUUCACUUCGGACAAAAGGAGUCACUGCAGGCCAAAUAAAAACAGGAUAACAUAAAUUUUCGUGUUUGAACCAGAAGAAAAACAUAAACUUGCCAACCAGGUUAUCACAGCACAGCAUCAACCAAAUGGGAUCCUUUACCCCAAACAGAAAAGGGGAGGUGCCGCUCGCUUGUUUAUCCCAUGAAAAAUGGGGUUCCAAUGCUAAAUAAUCAGGUAUGUGACAUUGGACAGUGGCAUACUAUUCCACCAUGAAACCAAACACAUAUCAGUCCAACCUUUGGCAAAACGAAAACAAAACCAAAGAACACUGAAUAAAUUUGAAAAUAUAUAAGAUACAGAGAAGGGAGACAAUGGCUAAUAUACAGAUCCCAGGUGACCCAAGCAAAAGCACCAAGAGCACCUUCAAUCAUGAUUAGACAAAAUAUAAAAUCUUUUUAAACAAACGAAUGCAAUUGACUGGACACUCAUUUUAAACAACCUGCGAGGAAUCAGUUCCUCGCUAAUGAAUCAAAAUGUGGCAAGUUGACAGCAGCAGCUUAAAAAGAGACUAAUGACCAGCAAAAUAAAUACUACCGUGGUUGUUGCCAACGGGGAUCCCCCAUUCCGAAAGGUAACGGGACCAGCCCUUAGGUCCAAAGUUGUAUGCCACUGCUGUGGUGCUGAUAGAUUCACUACUGAAGCCCCGUUAUCGGACAUUGCAGGCUUAGCAUCUAUUUUUCGUAUAUCGCUCCACCACACCGAGAAGUCUGCUCUGACCAAAAUAAAACUAACGCAGUAUGAGCUUCAGUUCUAAGAAAACGCAGUUAUUGCUGAUCAUAACUUUGUCUUUGAAGAAGCAUCUGGCAGGACAAGACAAGCAAAACAACAGCUUCUCGUUAACCACAUGAAUAGAACAGCCAAUAGCUAAAAACAUUGGAGAAAAAAGGACAAUCCUGUGAUACACAAUCCCUCCGUCCCAUAAUAUAAGAGCGUUUUUUACACUAUAUGUAUUCCCUCCAUAUAUUCAAUGAGAGCUCAGGUGGAGAGGGAUUCAGAAUUAAGGCAGCAGAUUAGGGUGUAAUUGCAUGCGUACCGAUUCAAGCCAAAAAGCGGAACUGUAUCGUGAAAAAUCCAUCGCGGCAGCUCAGAUCUCAGGCCUCCUUUGGUUCAUAGGAUAGGAAUAUCAUAGGAAUAGGAGCCAUAUGAGUUUUCCCAUAGGAAUCAUAUCCUAUAUAAUUCCUACGAAAUUCCUGUAAACCAAAGGAGGCCUCACUGUGGACAGCCGACUUCCCAGGCAUGAGAGGCCACACAGGGUCCCAAUCUUCCACGAUGCCCAACCCAAAACCGCCAGCCCCUGCCGUUUCAGCUGCGGCAACUGCCCGAGGAGGGUCCCAAGCCAAUGCAUCAGUGCAGUGGGCCUGAACAGGAGGGGUGGCCCCAUGAACCAAAGCUCCAAGGCCACCACCAGGGCUAGGGAUGAUGUCUGGGAAGUUUUGUAAGGACAAUGAUGGCAAGCAUCAAUAAUGGUAGUUAAGGAGGACUAUUAUACCAAUGUCAACACAAGGAAAAGUAAUAAUUGGAUGGUAAAAAGAGGGGGGAGGGGGGGUGUUAACAGUAGCAUUAAAAAACUGCUUAAAAUUGGUUCACUAUAAAAAGACUUCACAUCCUCUCACCUUCCCUGAAGGCCAGAAGGUCCACAGACAGAAGGAACCAGAGCCAUAGAUAGGCGGGUUCACUUUUCAAGCUACAGCCCGGAGUGUAGAGUAUAAACGACUUAAUUUUCACCAUGGGAUCAUGACCAUUCACGAUUGCCAACAAGAUAUAGUUUAAAAAAGGCUGUUUAGGAAACCAAGCUGUUUUCUGGAGUAUAUUUCAGAAGUACCCAAUCCUAAAAUUUCUAUAAUCAGGCAGAAGUACAAGUGCGAAGUGUUAGACUCACGUACCAUAACAAAUACAUGAGGAAUCCUCUACUUCUCAAUAGCUACAACCCACUAGCUAAUUUUUAAUAACAUGCAGCCAUGCCACAACAGCACGUAUGGAUGUCAAUCACAAAUCAUAACUUACAUUUAUUUACAUCCAAUUCACGAUCUAAUUUUUCUAAGCAUGCAACCAUGCCACCUAAGGACCUAUGCAUGUCAAUUAUAAGUUGCACCUUUUUGCAUUAAUUUAAAAAUGAAACCGCGCCAUAUUACCAAGCGAUACAUGUCGAUGGCGUUGAUAAGUUAUAUUUUUUGAAUUGUAACAUGUCGACGUCGUUGAUAGGUUACAUUUGUUUAAUUGACUUUUAUAUUGUCAUAUACAGCAUACAUGGUGGAUACUUGAAGCCUAUCUACGUAGUUCAUGAUUUGCACUUUUUAUAGAAACAAAAUGGCAUGUUGCUACAAUGUAAGUCAAGAAUAUUAUUAUUAUCUUGCAUCAGUUUAGUUGUUUUCUAGCACCUAUUAAUACAAUUAUUUUAACGAGGUUCCCACGGCAACACACGGGGGCCAGGGCAUCAUCUAGUAGUUCACAAAAUCCGGGAAAUUUUUGGGGAGUACUACUUGAAUGAAUGGCUCAGAUUUACCUGCCCAUGAAUCACCUUAGUUGGACAAUGCUUCAGGUAGUACCAUAAGGAAUAAAACCUCUCUCUCCACUCAGCAACAAAUAGCCACAACUGGUAACUUGCUGUAGAGCAAGGCCUCCUAGUUUAAUGAUUAACUGUCUAACUGGGCAAAGUUGAAUGGAACCAACCUAGAGACGUGAAAGUGUCUCUAUCUCAGGAUAUGUUGAACGACACCAUGGGGCGGAAAUCAUCAUAGCCAUUCAGAAAAAGAAUAAUUAACAACAACACACAACAGAAACAAAUAUGCUGUGUUCAGAAGUUAAUAUGGAAUACUGCACUGAUGGCCGUAUUACCGGCAAUGAAAGAAGCAAUUGCCAUUUGUUCACUUCAGAUAAAACGAGUGACUGCAAGCCAAAAUAAAAACAGGAGAACAUGAACUUUCUUUUUUGCAACAGAAGAAAGCCAUCAACAGGGUUAGUGCUGCAGGUUACAGUGAACAUAAUGUAAACGAGAAAUAGAAUUGUAGAUUCAGAAUUUAAAAAAAUAUAAUUAAUAAAUUAAUAGAUCAAAUGUAAUUAUUACAAUUGCUGAUGCUUGCGGUGCCGUAGUGCAGCAAAUACAUGAAUGUAAGACCUUCCGCAAAAUAAAAUGCGGUUACGACUAAAUGGGAAUGCUGAGACAAAAAACAGAACAUGCAUAACAAAGGACAUACAGUUGCAAAUAAUAGCAUAGUUUGAUGAAAAGAUGUGAAAUCCUGUUCCUCUUUCUAGGCCCUUCACAACACAAUUUUUUUAUUUAUUCAAACAAAGUAGUCCUUAAUGAUGCAUCUUUAUUUCAAAGCAUUCUGCUGUAAGCAACCAAACUGUUAAGUGGAUUCUUAAUUCCAUGUAAUCUCUCUCCACACUGUUAAGUGGAUUCUUAAUUCCAAUGUUUAACAGUAAUUGUUAGCCGCUAAACCGGUUACUUGUUGUGACACAAGGACUCCUAGAGUCUUAGUUUAGCAUCUACUGAACCAAUUCAGGUAUUAGAUAGAAGCACCCACAUGGAAGCUAUAUCAUCGCAGCCAUUCAUGAACAUGACAUGAAGGAAACAGUAAUCUUGACAUCUGAACUUGCCCUAUAUGACCCUUAAGAUGAAAACCAGUAAAUAAAUGAGGAGUGCCCAAAAGUACAAACUGAUAACUAGAUAAAGAGAACAGUAGCAAAAUGAAAUUAUCAAAAGUCAAAUAGCAAUUGAAACAACCAAACUGAUACAGUACCAAAUAAGAUAAUUUCAAAAAAUACCCAAGGGCAGCAUUAUUAUCACAGCCAUUCAAGGAAAAAUAAUAACAGAAAAGAAAAGGCCCGGAUGCACCAAACUGGUUCCCUCAAUGGACAACAAAAUCAUGGCAAGGCAAACCGAACACCACGAGAGGUGAUUUGUGCGUAGUUGCUCCUAAUGAGAUGGCCCAAUGCUACAACCACGACAAUUCAUCAAUUUAAAACAUAAAAAUGCAAUAGGGAUAAAUAGAUGUGUAGAGGGCACAGUAUUAGUUGCAUUGAGAUUUGAGAGGGCUCAGAUUCGCCUUUGAUAGAUCAUACAACCUGGCUCCAUCUUCUUUCACCAGAUCAACCCCCACCACUGAGGUCGAGCUCCUCUGGUUAUCACUCAGCAGAAUGACCAUCCAAGACAGAGCCGUCAAUAUUCGGUGAGAAUGAUAAGGUGCCAAAAGAGGGGAGAGUAGGUUUUUGAAGCCCACAGCUCCUCGAAUAAUCGAAGACAAGUUUAUGUCAGCCAUGUUUUAUCAUCAUCGCCUCAAAUAGAUAGACAGAUAGAUGGAUGGAUGGGUCGAUGGAUAGAUGGAUGGAUCGAUGGAUACAGGGGGUUAGAUUGUACUGAAGUUUCGGACAUGGUUCAUUUGUGCGAACCUUUACAAAAAGGUCAAAACAGUGAUUUCGGCAGCAACAUGACCAUAGUAUCCAUACAUCCAUACAUACAUGCAUCCAUACAAACAUGCAUGCAUGCCAGAAGUUGGCUGUACUAUUAACCAUGCUCUCAGGAGUUGCUCAUGUCUGGCAUCAGCCGACCAGAGUACCAGACCUCCGGCUCGGACGACGCAUCAGACAACACUGUAUGGUUCCCAGCCCACGCCACAACCGAAUCCAAGGCAAUGGAAUGGCGGUGGCUGACGGCACCAUAGCGUUAGUCCACCCGGACCAUGGGUCAGCAAGUAGGCAAUGACAGCUUGACUGAUUUGUUGUAGGAUAUAUAUAUAUAUAUAUAUAUAUAUAUAUAUAUAUAUAUAUAUAUAUAUAGAGAGAGAGAGAGAGAGAGAGAGAGAGGAGGAG
rnacentral:lncRNA from 1 species